rnacentral:rRNA from 1 species
GACGAACGCUGGCGGCGUGGAUUAGGCAUGCAAGUCGAACGGUAUCAUCCUUUCGGGGGUGAGAGAGUGGCGAACUGGUGAGUAACACGUAGGUUAUCUACCCUCAAGACGGAGACAACCCAGGGAAACUUGGGCUAAUACCGGAUGUGAGCAACUUUUAGUUGUUUGAAAGGUGGCGUAAGCUGUCGCUUGGGGAUGAGCCUGCGUCCUAUUAGUUAGUUGGUGAGGUAACGGCUCACCUAGGCAAUGAUAGGUAGGCGGCCUUAACGGGUGGUCGCCCACACUGGGAUUGAGAUACGGCCCAGACUCCUACGGGAGGCAGCAGUCGAGAAUAGUCUACAAUGGUCGGAAGACUGAUAGUGCGACGCCGCGUGAACGAUGAAUCCCUUCGGGGUGUAAAGUUCUUUUAUAUGUGAGCAGUGCUUCUUAUAUUAACAGUAUGGGGAGAGAGAUAUUAGCAUAUGAAUAAGCAACGGCUAACUCCGUGCCAGCAGCCGCGGUAAA